CAUGGGGCACCAUCAUGGAAAAAAGGGGGAAUUUAUAUUACAGAAGGAAAAAAAUCCCAACAAUACUAUUAUAUUAUUAUUUGCAUUUACUUUUAGGGAUGAUAUUAAUUUUUAUAUUCACAUAAGAAGCUAUAUACAUGCUACUAGUAAUGAUUCAACUGCAUGGAACAUGAGAGAGACAUGAGAAACUAUACUCCCAUAGCAGUGGUAAGAGUAUGAAUUGAUCAAACUUUCGCAAAAGAAAAAUAGUAGUUUAUUUUACAACCAAAAAUAUGCUUUUCCCCUUGCUUUAGCAAUCAUACCUGAGGGAGUUUAAUUUAUAUUAAAUAGCAAAUAAAUAUUAGAGGAAGACACAAUAUUUGCAAGUUUAUGUAAUUGGAAGAGGGGGAGAGCACAUGGGCUAUAAAAGAUAGAAAAAUCUUCUAUAUAAAGUAUGACUUUGGCCUUGAAUAGCAAUGCCAUUCUUCAGCUCUGAAUUUCUUUUAUAAUCCAGGUCCUGCUUACAGCCAUUUUGCUGUUUUUAUUUCAUCUGCAGGUCAUUUCUCCACAAAGAAUAAUCAGAAUUUCCAGGAACUACACACAUAUUCAAAAAUUCUGAAAAAAAAAGUUCUGUCUCUGCUUUGUCUUCUUGAUAGCCUUUCACAAGAAAUAGUUACAAAAUCAAAUGAAAAAAAAUGAAUGCAAUAAGAGAAGAUGUUUUAGUGUCAGAUAUCCUAGAGAACUUUGGAUAUCAAUGUUAUGUUUAAUUUAUGUAGUAGCCUAAACACUUACCCACUAUGUUGUGAUUAUGGCUGGUAAGUGCCAUUCUUCAGAGCUAAUUCAUUUAGAAUAUGUUGAGAAAAAAUUCUGUGGGCAGAAAUAACUAAGGAUAAUUGAACUCUUGAGCUUUUUGUCAGAGAACUGGCUCUACACAUCUCAUGUAAUAACCAAGAGGAAGCUGACAAUUUGUUACAUCCUGCACUUGUUUCUGGGAAGUUUAUGGUUGCGUAGGACAUUGGUCCAAUUGUAGUGGUGUGCAUUGUGGUCAAUACCUGCUAAUGCUCAGACAGGCACCAGACUUUCUCAGAAGUCAGUCCUUCCUCACCUAGACUGCUUCCUCACAGCCACAUCACCUGAAUAAUCCUCAGUGUUUUGCCUAUCUGGCUAAUCAUCGACCAGCAGCCAGAGUUACCAGACAGAGUCCAUCCUCAUAAGAAUAAGUCACUUGAGAAAGAUGAAGUCAGUGUGUGGCUUCUUCUUAAAAGAAUGUGAUAGAUUUUGUGAAGAUAAUAUCUUGGAUACAAAAAAGGAGCAAUAUUUCUGAAAGGAUCUCCUUUUAUCUUUAGUAAUAGCUUUUAUACGUCAAUAGAGGAAAGGAGACUGGGUCCUAGCACAUGGGGAAACUCACUUGUUCGAUGCCACUUGACCUCCUAAGUUGAACUAGAAAACAUAGAAUGCAAAUUUUAUCCAUAGGACACUUCCAAGAAUUACAUAUUUUUCCGUAGUCAUGCUUAAUCUGAUUUAAGGCUAAUAAAAUAUUAAACAUUUCCAACUUUUAAAAAUAUGUAAGUCCCAUGGUCCGAACAUGUAGGAAGCACAUAUAAAUACUUGUGUGUUUUUUUUUUUCCCAAGGAAGCAGAUUACCUCUUAUAACACCCUUCAUACUCAGGCCAGUAUAGUCGGGUCAAGUAUAGGUAUCAAGUAAGAUUGACUAUUAAAGAAAGCUCUUUGUUCUGGAGUCUAAAUGAUCUCUCCAGGUAGAAUUAUUUUUUCCCUAACUCUGGCAUUAUAUCAGGAUUACUCUAAUAUUCUUUGUUGGGAUAUGAAAUCAUCUUUUGGAGCAGAAGAACAUAAAAUUAUUUUUUAUAACAUGUUGCCCCAAAUCUUUGUCUCAUUUAUUCUAUUUUCCUUUAAAUGAAAAAUAAAACAUAUAUUUCACUUAGGCUUUAUCAUAACAGUGGGGAUACCUAUAUCAUGACUGAUAAACAAUUAUGACAUCCUUAUUCACAGUAUGGGAGUUUUUUCUAUAAAUAUUCUACCGUGUGGGUUCAUAUUCCCUAUCUCAAUGUGCAUUUUU
rnacentral:lncRNA from 1 species